UGCAGUCGAACGGCAGCACAGUAAGAGCUUGCUCUUACGGGUGGCGAGUGGCGGACGGGUGAGGAAUGCAUCGGAAUCUACUCUGUCGUGGGGGAUAACGUAGGGAAACUUACGCUAAUACCGCAUACGACCUACGGGUGAAAGCAGGGGAUCUUCGGACCUUGCGCGAUUGAAUGAGCCGAUGCCCGAUUAGCUAGUUGGCGGGGUAAGAGCCCACCAAGGCGACGAUCGGUAGCUGGUCUGAGAGGAUGAUCAGCCACACUGGAACUGAGACACGGUCCAGACUCCUACGGGAGGCAGCAGUGGGGAAUAUUGGACAAUGGGCGCAAGCCUGAUCCAGCCAUACCGCGUGGGUGAAGAAGGCCUUCGGGUUGUAAAGCCCUUUUGUUGGGAAAGAAAAGCAGCCGGUUAAUACCCGGUUGUUCUGACGGUACCCAAAGAAUAAGCACCGGCUAACUUCGUGCCAGCAGCCGCGGUAAUACGAAGGGUGCAAGCGUUACUCGGAAUUACUGGGCGUAAAGCGUGCGUAGGUGGUUGUUUAAGUCUGUCGUGAAAGCCCUGGGCUCAACCUGGGAAUGGCGAUGGAAACUGGGCGACUAGAGUGU
rnacentral:rRNA from 1 species